CCUACGGGAGGCAGCAGUGGGGAAUAUUGGGCAAUGGACGCAAGUCUGACCCAGCAACGCCGCGUGAAGGAAGAAGGCUUUCGGGUUGUAAACUUCUUUUAAGGGGGAAGUGCAGAAGACGGUACCUCUUGAAUAAGCCACGGCUAACUACGUGCGAGCAGCCGCGGUAAUACGUAGGUGGCAAGCAUUGUCCGGAUUUACUGGGUGGAAAGGGCGUGUAGGCGGGACUACAAGUCAGAUGUGAAAUCCUGCGGCUUAACCGCAGAACUGCAUUUGAAACUGUUGAUCUUGAGUACUGUAGAGGCAGGCGGAAUUCCUAGUGUAGCGGUGAAAUGCGUAGAUAUUAGGAGGAACACCAGUGGCGAAGGCGGUCUGCUGGACAGCAACUGACGGUGAGGCGCGAAAGCGUGGGGAGCAAACAGGAUUAGAUACCCCAGUAGUC
rnacentral:rRNA from 1 species